CUGCGGGCUCCUCGUCCAAGUGGCGAGGCCUUCACGCCUUCAUCCUGGAGGUCGUGGGAGGAACCGCGCAGAGUGUUACCUGCCGUACAGAGUGUGAAAUAUGAAUCUGCUUUGCUGGGGCAGUGGGGGCUUCGCCAGACUGGACACGGCGAGUCUGGGGCCCAUCGGUCCGGAGGAAGCGCAUCAGAGGGAGUUCACAGAAACACGGCCGGGCCGAGUCAAGCUACUGGCAUGCGGAUCCGGUCACUGUAUUGUGAUCACAGCCGGCACCACGUUUGUUGCAGAAUCUUCCAUCAUCUCUGAAAAUAUCUCAAGUACCCUGCGGAGAGCGACACACCCUGUUUGGGCUGAAGGACGGCAGCGUGGCGGCGUGUGGGCAAAAUGAUCACGGACAGCUUGGAAAUGGUUCUGUUGACGUCCCUCGCUUUGUCGAGCUUGUGGAAGCAUGUGUCGAAGGUCACCUGUGGGGCAAACCACAAUCUUGCACUGACAGGUGACGGGAAGCUGCUUCAGGGGGGCGGUGGACGGGCACAUGAAGAGGAACCUCUUUCUCUCAGAGGAAGUGACGCCAUAGCCUGCUUCUUACAGACAUGAGAAGGCUGGAGGCAACAACGUGCUGAUAGAUGUGUGGCUCUUUUCUACCCCCUCACCGCCACCCCCCAAAAAAACCUCAACAACCUACACCUACAGAGCUACGCUAGACGGUGGGAAUGCGUUCUCCUGGGGGAUGGGCCAAGAGUUUAUCUGCGAGGUCGUCUGAAACUACUGCCAUUACUUUAACAGCGUGACGGAGAAGAUGAUGCUUCGCCGGGACAGUGAAGCAAACAUGGACAGCUUGGACUUGGGGACGACAGGAUCCAAACCUCCUUGUCUUCUUAACUAUUCUCAGCCAGGCGAGGUCACACGGAUCCAAGCAGGAGACCCCCACAGUGCAGCCGUCACAGCAUCCGGAAAGCUGCUUCUCUGGGGUCUCCGGCUCGUUGAUUAUCCAGGCCCCAAAAAGCUCUGGACCCCACAGCCGGUUUCACUAGCAGGAAGAAAGGUGUGUGAUGUACCUGGCAUUUAAUGGCCCUCACCUAAACUGGUGAGCCCCAAAACCCAGACUACGGUCAGCGAGCAGGCGCCUCUGCUGUUGUUGAGACAACUUUGAAUGAUAAGUGGAGGAGAGAAGAGAGUUGUCUCUGGUUGGAGCCACGCGUGGCCUUGCUACCUUGGAAAUGAACUGCACAAACAACGCCUGGCCAUUGUUCCUAAGCUCUUACAAUGAGGCCAUUUAAGAGAUUAUUGAUCCACCCAGUGCAGGGUCAAUCAUUGGAUCAAUGGCGUGUGGGUUGGUCGGCUGGAAGAGGCUAACCAACUCCCCACACGUCCAGCCCCUGCGUCAGGAACAAGCCUCCUGGACCUGCAUCUCCACAGAAAAUAGCGGCAACUCUAUUAACAAAAUGCAUUCAUUACAGAACCAAGUAGCAGUAGUAGACCCAGUCAGCAUAAAUGUUGACAAUUUUAUAUGUAGUAGUUAUGAGGCUGAGGUAUUUUUCUUGUCUCUGUCUCCUUAGGAAAGAUCUACCCAUCUGAUUGAAUUGGUCCAAAAAGGGGGAGCUGACCCCAAUUUUUUCCCAGGCCAAAACCAAGACCUCUUGGUGGACCUCCGUGGGCUCAAGUCUCCUGUUCACAAGUCUUUCCUCCAUGACUUGAUCUGAGCCCUGAACAAAAAGCUAAAAUGUCAUCCCCGCCGUUUCCCCCGGGAUCACACGUCCAACUUUUUCCUCUCCUGAACUAUUCAUGUACUAUCCGAGACACAGACGCAUUUUUUGUUUUUUUGAUACUACUUUUGAAGAAUCCACGAUUUAAUUCUCUGCACCAGAGUAAUUCAUCUGAUCCGCCCCCUUAGAUCUUGGCCUCUGGUAAGACAGAAGAGGGUCUUUAUGUCUGCCUCUGCAGUCUGACUCAUUGACUGCAGCUCUUUUGAGUGUGAGGAAAUCAAGUUGCUGCAGAGGUACCAUAAGAUGGUUUCAGGAAGCAAAACUUCCUUUGAGUGCUGUGGUUUAUUUGUGUUUCUUUGAGCAAGGUUCUUCAUCAGCCUUGAGGUCUUGCGGUGCAAACUGGUUUGUUUCAGUCCUGUGAAGGAUUUUCUUUUGACAGAAAUGUCUCAUACACUUUAAACUUCAAGUUCAAAUUAUUUGGUGGCUCCUUUAUGAAUUAAAACAAAUUGAUGGCGUAUGGUUGAGUUUUUUUUGCCUUUACUCAACAUGGGUAUGUGUGUAGUAUAACUUUUUAACCUUUUUUUGAACUCAUUUUGUGGUGUUUUGCAGACUUAUAAUGACUGGUUCAUGAAGCAGAAAAUUUGAUCCACUUUUUUAAUUCAAAAUGUGUCAUCAGCAUGGAGUUAGUAGACAGUGGCUUUUCCACAUUUUUAUAACAAUAUUUUUGGGCAUUGGGUGACAUAUUAUAGUACUACCUUUAUAUGACAUUUAAUACUGUGACCUUUUGUGAAAACUUUCUUUUUUAUCAUAUGCAACACUAUAACUUAUUUAUGAUGUACUAUAACAUUUUUCCAGAAUUUUUAUGACAGACAUCUCUUUCCAUGAUGCGUACUAAAAUGAUAUACUACAAAUGACAUUCCUAAGACAUAUACUAAUAGUUCCAAUGGAUUUUUUUUUUGUAAAAAUAAACUACUCUGACUUUUAUUAGAACUAUACGUUCAUGUAUGGACUUUUCAAGACGUAGAAUACUUUGUUUUUUUUUAAAGAUUCGUAUGACAUACAAAAAUGCCACUGAUAUUUAUGAAUUUAAAGGGCAUUUCAUGACAUGUCAUAUUAUGACAUUUUUAUGAAACAGAAUAGUGUGACUGCUUUAUUACUUUGUUUUGAAAUCCUAUACGAUAACCUUGUUCAUAUUGUAAUAUGCUAUCUUUUUUAUUGCUAUAUAAAAAAGAUAUAGCAUAUUGCUAUAUUUUUUUUUUCUUUAUGCUAUACUAAGACUCCUAUACUAAGACCCCUGUGUUUAGUCUCUAUGUGAACUUGACCGUGGUUUUCAUUUCAACUGACAUGAAUACAUCUUCCCUUCAAACCUAUUUAUUUCCUUGAUCCCAGUGUUUAAGGGUAAAACCAAAAUGUUUUUGUUUGUAUCGGAAUCGAAACAAAAGUAUUUUAAGGGUCACAAAAUGGUGUUCAAGAAGAAGCAAAACUAAAAUGCUUCUAAAUUUUUGGAGUUUAUUACGAAUUCCCAAAUCAAACACUGACAACACACUGGCAGCGAUACUAAUCGACAUCGUCCAUCCGCCCACCCUGUUGUUGCCUACACUCCCUAUGGUUUGUUUUGCUGUAUGUGAGAAAGUGUUGGUCGUGUGUAUCACAUCUUUGCCCUGUGAGACUCGGGCUGAUCAAUUCAAGGUGAGACCUGUCGAUUAGACGCCCUGGGCUGUGCUCUCAACCUAACCUAACCUAACACAGGGUGAUUCAAUCCCACCCCUCAUACACACACACACAGACACACACAUGUCAUCUUACCUUCACACACACGACCCCAAGCACACGCACACCUUACCUGUCAUCCAUCAAUAUCUCCAUCUGGCCUUCUAUUGAUCCCCUCCAACCAUCUUCUUUACCCCAUGCAGUACGACAUCAGAGCCAAGAUGACGUCCACACAGGUUGAAUCUCUGAAAGAUUUACAAUAAAGCUCAAGUUAUUAUUUAACUCUUCCGGCCGCAGUGUGCUCUUUGAUUUAGCACUGUGGGUGAGGAUGAGUUACAGCUGACACGGAGAAUCUGCCGGGGCUGGAAUGGUAGGCACCCAGUUCAUAACUCAGCUGCCGAAUGUGUAGUUAGUCAAUCACUUGAUCUGUAAUCACAAAUGCUGCCAGAAAUUACAUGAGUGAUGAGCUGUAAUAAAAGCACUUACUUUU